CAAAUGCAUCUUUUUUACUCCUUAAACCCAAAGAACUUCCCUGCUUUCUAUACAUAACUCUAGGCAACAUUUCCAAAACCUUUUCUCUCAUCCUUCUAACUUGAGCUCUAGGUAUACUCGAUAAAACAUCAACAAUGCUCAACCCCUUAAACACAACGUCUUCUUUAGGUAUCGACACUGAAAAUUCUUCAUACUUCUCCUCUGGUAAAUGCCAUCCAUACUGUUUUUUCGCGGACAAAUCUUCAAAGAACACAGGAAUACACCCUGCAAGAAUCCCAUCAAACGUGGAACGUCUAGUCGGUGUGUCCCCUGGAGGUUGUAAACAAAAGGUAGCUUGCAACAUUGGCUUCAUAAACCUUAUAGGAUCAUGUUGACAAAUCCCAUUAGAACAAUCAACAAAUUCGCACAAUUUCUCGUACCCUGUUCCAUUAGCACUCAUACUAGUAGCAUUCUCACACUCAAGUCUAAUACUUCUCCUAACAUUAGGAUUAGCUGAAAUUCCACCACCACCAGCAAACAACAUCAAUGUAGUCCUCCUAGACCUCCUUAACCUAUUCACCCAAGAUUCGAAAAAGGCUAAAUUCGGAGGAUGAAAUGAAGUGGGAUAUGGAAUAGCUUGUUCUUGCCAAGGAUAAGCUCUACUCUCAUGAGUCAAUGCAGUCACAUUGUAAAACUCAGGCAAUUCAAGAAAUGAAGUACCAAAAUACAAAGGAUCACUAUUCAAAGGUUGAUUAAAGUCCCAAGCAGGCCUUGCCAUAACCAUAAAAUGAUCAUGACCAUAAUUUCUACUCCAAAUAUUAGGUGAAUCAACAUGGACAAGAAAAUCAUACAAAUCUAAACCAUGCUGAAAACUUGAAUUAAUUUCAGGACCAUACAAGUACUUAAGACUAUCAAG
rnacentral:misc_RNA from 1 species